UUUGUAUUCAAUAAAGAGCGCAUCG
rnacentral:piRNA from 1 species